ACCUAAUAAUGUGGACAGUUACAAAGUAGGUCUCUGAAACGCUCCCAAGUCUUAAAGAAAAGUUCCCCAUCCAUCUGUGUGAAACUUGUGAUUGCCCUUUGCAGGU